GUUAAAAAAAAAAAAAAAUCUUGUCUUGACCGGGAGAGAUUUGGGGACUUCACCUCACAGACUUCUCUCCCCGCUCAAAAAGUCACAUCCAUUUCAGACAGCCAGAAACAGCCCCAGAAGUGGCACCUGCGCCACCUGAGGACAUCUGUCUGAAUCAGACGUCUGGCCCCUUUGGGCUGUUGGGGGAACCCAAGCAGAACCACGUUUGAGGAAUAAGGAACCAGCUGUUGAAUCACGAGCCGAUCAGUACACCCCACCCCCGUUCUUCCCCCGUAGGAAAGAAGUCGUUUGACCAGGUGCUGUGCAUCAUGCUGAAUAUAGAAAAAUAAAUGAGAUAAGGUCCCUAUCUUCAAGGAAUUUAGACUCUACGGCAACAGUGUACCUCCUUGUCCUGAAAGGCUGGAAAGCUAAAAACCACAUUUCCCAGACCACUUGCAGUUGAAGCUCCAAAUGCAAUGUGAGUUCUGGCAAACGGAUCCAUUUUAUGCAAAGUUUGGAAGAUAAAAGUGAGGAAGGGCUUCCCUGGUGGCGCAGUGGUUGGGAGUCUGCCUGCCGAUGCAGGGGACACGGGUUCGUGCCCCGGUCCAGGAAGAUCCCACAUGCCGCGGA